rnacentral:tRNA from 1 species
GCCCGAAUGGCUCAGUGGUAAAGCGUCUCACUAGUACGCCUGUUCAAGCGACCUCGGUCCGAUAGGACAGCCGACAACAUGAGAAGAUCGCCAGUUCGAUUCUGGCUUUGGGCA